rnacentral:rRNA from 1 species
AUGCUAGUAGUGCGAAUGGAUUAAGAGCUUGCUCUUAUGAAGUUAGCGGCGGACGGGUGAGUAACACGUGGGUAACCUGCCCAUAAGACUGGGAUAACUCCGGGAAACCGGGGCUAAUACCGGAUAACAUUUUGAACCGCAUGGUUCGAAAUUGAAAGGCGGCUUCGGCUGUCACUUAUGGAUGGACCCGCGUCGCAUUAGCUAGUUGGUGAGGUAACGGCUCACCAAGGCAACGAUGCGUAGCCGACCUGAGAGGGUGAUCGGCCACACUGGGACUGAGACACGGCCCAGACUCCUACGGGAGGCAGCAGUAGGGAAUCUUCCGCAAUGGACGAAAGUCUGACGGAGCAACGCCGCGUGAGUGAUGAAGGCUUUCGGGUCGUAAAACUCUGUUGUUAGGGAAGAACAAGUGCUAGUUGAAUAAGCUGGCACCUUGACGGUACCUAACCAGAAAGCCACGGCUAACUACGUGCCAGCAGCCGCGGUAAUACGUAGGUGGCAAGCGUUAUCCGGAAUUAUUGGGCGUAAAGCGCGCGCAGGUGGUUUCUUAAGUCUGAUGUGAAAGCCCACGGCUCAACCGUGGAGGGUCAUUGGAAACUGGGAGACUUGAGUGCAGAAGAGGAAAGUGGAAUUCCAUGUGUAGCGGUGAAAUGCGUAGAGAUAUGGAGGAACACCAGUGGCGAAGGCGACUUUCUGGUCUGUAACUGACACUGAGGCGCGAAAGCGUGGGGAGCAUACAGGAUUAGAUACCUUGGUAGUCCAA